AGGAAAGUAGUUAAUUAUAACAUUUAUAUUGCAAAUAAAAAUUAUUGAAAUCAAUCUUUCUUA
rnacentral:tRNA from 1 species